ACCCAGCAGAGGCCUUACCCAUCAGAUCUAAACUCUGGUCUGAGUGGUUGUCAGAGGAGGGCAAGUAUCCCUGAAACUGGCCUCAAUCCUUCUGUGGCACACAAGCCAAUGUCAAAAAAAG
rnacentral:snoRNA from 1 species